AUGUCUUAUUUACUUGAGACAGGGUCUUGCUCUGUCACCCAGGAAAAUGCAGUGUUAUUGAGGGAAUGUAUUCUCUUCCCAGGUCCAAAAGGGAGUGUGGUUUCAAAGGCAAGGCCUUCCCAGUGCCAUACCUCCACUUACUUCUCCAUCCAGGAGCUUAGAGGUCUUUGUUUAACUUUCACGCAUGCGGGAAGAUGGACUGCCCAGGCUACCCUUCUCAAAGAUGAAAAAAAUCUGGAUGGGGUGGCAAAUAAGAAACAGGCCACCUGGACCUUCUUGAAGGGGAUCUCAUUCAGGAAGGCCAUUGGAGGGGCCAAGCAAUUCUUCAGAAGCAUGAUUUAGCUGAAGAAGAGAGAACUUGAAGUGAAUACCUUUAGAAGGUAUUCCCUAUAUCAAUGGAAUUGCAACUGAAAGGUUCUUUAAGAAAAAUGUCUGAGAAAUGUGCAAUGAAAUCUUAUGGAAAAAUCAGUUUGACACCUUGCAAGCCUGUAAGAUUUGAUUGCACGUUCCUCAGUGACAUGACCGGCCACAUGACAACAGUACGUGUCACUAUGCCAGUUUUACCUUGUUUCUCUCUCCUCUCUAAGAAAAAUUCAGAGAUUAGAAACCAUGCCUAACUAGCGGAUGAGAAGAAUAAAUUUAAGGAAGAGAAAAACAAACCAUCUAUAUAUCUUAGAGUCUUUAGAUUUCCAUUGUUUGAAGUUAAACACUUCAUUACUGUGGAGUGUAUCUUAAUUACUAAAUGAGCCUUGUAGUUUCUUGUGAUUAAAAUAAAGCAGAGAAAUAGUCCAGUCUACCUAAAUUUAUUCCAAGUACAGAGAAAACAGUAGUACUAUCCCAAAAGGAGUUUUAAGCACAAUGGGAAAAGCAAUAGAGUUGCUUUGUGACUACUCUCUAUUGAGUUCUGAGGUUUUGUUGUCAUUGUUGUUUUAAUAUACUGACUGAAUUUUUUAUAGCAAUUUUCUUUUUUUUUUUAAUUGCAUUUUAGGUUUUGGGGUACAUGUGCAGAACAUGCAAGAUAGUUGCAUAGGUACACAUGUGGCAGUGUGAUUUGCUGUCUUCGUCCCCUUCACCCACAUCUGGCAUUUCUCCCCAUGCUAUCCCUCCCCAGCUCCCCCCACCGCUGUCCCUCCCCUAUUCCCCCCAGUAGACCCCAGUAUGUAGUGCUCCCCUCCCUGUGUCCAUGUGUUCUCACUGAACAUUAUUCUCAGCAAACUGACACAAGAACAGAAAAUGAAAUACCACAUAUUCUCACUCAUAGGCGGGUGAUGAGCAAUUUAUUUCUUAAGGAAACUAUGAAGUGAGUAGUGACCACUGCCUUUGGCUAGCAAGAUCUGUAACUGACAACCACAUUCUGGCCACAAGAAUGAGUAUAUAAUUUAGACAUCACGCCCCAUACAGUUGACCACAGUGACUGAGUUGGGAAUGGGCAGGUAGC
rnacentral:lncRNA from 1 species